rnacentral:rRNA from 1 species
CAGUCGAACGAGAGAUGAGGAGCUUGCUCUUCAAAUCGAGUGGCGAACGGGCGAUUAACGCGUGAGGAACCUGCCUCAAAGAGGGGGACAACAGCCGUAAACGACUGCUAAUACCGCAUAAGCCCACGGCUCGGCAUCGAGCAGAGGGAAAAGGAGCAAUCCGCUUUGAGAUGGCCUCGCGUCCGAUUAGCUAGUUGGUGAGGUAACGGCCCACCAAGGCGACGAUCGGUAGCCGGACUGAGAGGUUGAACGGCCACAUUGGGACUGAGACACGGCCCAGACUCCUACGGGAGGCAGCAGUGGGGAAUAUUGCACAAUGGGGGAAACCCUGAUGCAGCGACGCCGCGUGGAGGAAGAAGGUCUUCGGAUUGUAAACUCCUGUUGUUGAGGAAGAUAAUGACAGUACUCAACAAGGAAGUGACGGCUAACUACGUGCCAGCAGCCGCGGUAAAACGUAGGUCACAAGCGUUGUCCGGAAUUACUGGGUGUAAAGGGAGCGCAGGCGGGAGAACAAGUUGGAAGUGAAAUCCAUGGGCUCAACCCAUGAACUGCUUUCAAAACUGUUUUUCUUGAGUAGUGCAGAGGUAGGCGGAAUUCCCGGUGUAGCGGUGGAAUGCGUAGAUAUCGGGAGGAACACCAGUGGCGAAGGCGGCCUACUGGGCACCAACUGACGCUGAGGCUCGAAAGUGUGGGUAGCAAACAGGAUUAGAUACCCUGGUAGUCCACACCGUAAGCGAUGAUUACUAG